GCCACCACGGCAGACAAUCCUGAGUAGUGGGCAGAAACCGGCUGUAAAUGUGAGGCAGCGGGGAAGUAAUUUGGAAAGCUCUCAGGGUCACUCUCCCAGGGCUGACUGAGGUGGCCUCCCAGCUGGCUUCACACAGCCCUGUCACACCUUCCAUCUGUGCCCGGGGCGCUUCCUGAGACUCCCCGUUCCUCAGUGUGAAUCCCAGAUGGUUCCCAUCGCCAUCUGGAUAAAGGCUCCACUCCCCAGCUGGCCUUAGAGACCCUCACAAUCCGGCCCGACCACCCAGCACCCUCCCUCUCCUUCCCUCUACGACCUUGCGUCUCUGAAUACACUUGUUCCUCUGCC